CAAUAAGCGGAGGAAAAGAAACCAACAGGGAUUGCCCCAGUAACGGCGAAGUGAAGCGGCAACAGCUCAAAUUUGAAAUCUGGCCUUCGGGUCCGAAGUUGUAAUUUGGAGAGGAUGCUUUUGGCGCGGCGCCGUCCGAGUUCCUUGGAACAGGACGCCAUAGAGGGUGAGAGCCCCGUACGGGCGGCCGCCUAGCCUUUGUAAAGCUCCUUCGACGAGUCGAGUAGUUUGGGAAUGCUGCUCAAAAUGGGAGGUAAAUUUCUUCUAAAGCUAAAUACCGGCCAGAGACCGAUAGCGCACAAGUAGAGUGAUCGAAAGAUGAAAAGCACUUUGAAAAGAGGGUUAAAAAGUACGUGAAAUUGUUGAAAGGGAAGCGCCUGUGACCAGACUUGCGACCCGUGGAUCAUCCGGUGUUCUUCACCGGUGCACUCCGCGGGCUGCAGGCCAGCAUCGGUUUUCCUAGGGGGAUAAAGGUCGCAGGAACGUAGCUCUUUCGGGAGUGUUAUAGCCUGUGGCGUCAUGCCUCUGGGGAGACCGAGGACCGCGCUUCGGCAAGGAUGCUGGCGUAAUGGUCACCGGCGACCCGUCUUGAAACACGGACCAAGGAGUCAAGCAUUGGGGCGAGUGUCUGGGUGCCAAACCCGCACGCGAAAUGAAAGUAAACGCAGGUGAGAGCUUCGGCGCAUCACCGACCGAUCCUGAUGUCUUCGGAUGGAUUUGAGUAAGAGCCUUACCGCUUGGACCCGAAAGAUGGUGAACUAUGCCUGUAUAGGGUGAAGCCAGAGGAAACUCUGGUGGAGGCUUCGCAGCGGUUCUGACGUGCAAAUCGAUCGUCAAAUAAUGGGCAUGGGGGGCGAAAGACUAAUCGAACCAUCUAGUAGCUGGUUACCGC
rnacentral:rRNA from 1 species